AACCAUAGAAACCUGCGGAGUACCUGCGGAAGGAUCAUUAACGAGGAAAGGGUGCUUGCACCCCUACCCACCCGUGUUUACUGUACUUCUGUUGCUUUGGCGGGCCCGCUGUUCACAGCCGCCGGCACCUUUGGGUGCUGGCCAGCGCCCGUCAGAGGACUUUAGAACCUAUGUCAACUAUACCGUCUAAGUAUCUUUAAAUAGUUAAAACUUUUAGCAAUGGAUCUCAGAUCGGAAGAG
rnacentral:misc_RNA from 1 species